rnacentral:rRNA from 1 species
GACGAACCGUGCGAACGUUGUUCGGAUUCACUGGGCUUAAAGGGCGCGUAGGCGGCUUGCCAAGUCAGGGGUGAAAUCUUUCGGCUCAACCGGAAAAGUGCUUCUGAUACUGGCGGGCUGGAGGGAGGUAGGGGCAGAUGGAACUUCCGGUGGAGCGGUGAAAUGCGUAGAUAUCGGAAGGAACGCCGGUGGCGAAAGCGAUCUGCUGGACCUCUUCUGACGCUGAGGCGCGAAAGCCAGGGGAGCAAACGGGG